rnacentral:rRNA from 1 species
GACGAACGCUAGCGGCAGGCUUAACACAUGCAAGUCGAGGGGUAUAGGUUUUCGGACCUAGAGACCGGCGCACGGGUGCGUAACGCGUAUGCAAUCUACCUUUCACAGAGGGAUAGCCCAGAGAAAUUUGGAUUAAUACCUCAUAGUAUAGCAGUUUCGCAUGAAACCACUAUUAAAGUUCCAACGGUGAAAGAUGAGCAUGCGUCCCAUUAGCUAGAUGGUAAGGUAACGGCUUACCAUGGCUACGAUGGGUAGGGGUCCUGAGAGGGGGAGCCCCCACACUGGUACUGGGACACGGACCAGACUCCAACGGGAGGCAGAAGGGAGGAAGAUUGGUCAAUGGACGCAAGUCUGAACCAGCCAGGCCGCGUGCAGGAUGACGGUCCUAUGGAUUGUAAACUGCUUUUGUACGAGAAGAAACAACAUUACGUGUAAUGUCUUGACGGUAUCGUAAGAAUAAGGAUCGGCUAACUCCGUGCCAGCCGCCGCCGUAAAAC